UCGGGAAUUUUGGGCAAUGGGCGAAAGCCUGACCCAGCAACGCCGCGUGAGUGACGAAGGCCUUAGGGUUGUAAAACUCUUUCGUCGGGGACGAUAAUGACGGUACCCGAAGAAGAAGCUCCGGCUAACUUCGUGCCAGCAGCCGCGGUAAUACGAAGGGAGCUAGCGUUGUUCGGAAUCACUGGGCGUAAAGCGCACGUAGGCGGAUAGUUAAGUUGGGGGUGAAAUCCCGAGGCUCAACCUCGGAACUGCCUUCAAAACUGGCGACCUGGACCUAAGUAGAGGCAAGUGGAAUUGCGAGUGUAGAGGUGAAAUUCGUAGAUAUUGGGAAGAACACCAGUGGCGAAGGCGGCUAACUGGUCCGGUACUGACGCUGAGGUGCGAAAGCGUGGGGAGCAAACAGGAUUAGAUACCCGUGUAGUCCCUGAGCGGGCUGGCAAGGCGCAU
rnacentral:rRNA from 1 species